rnacentral:tRNA from 2 species
GCGAUCGUGGUGAAGUCGGUUAACACACCGGAUUGUGGUUCCGGCAUGCGCGGGUUCGAGUCCCGUCGGUCGCCCCA